rnacentral:lncRNA from 1 species
CUGGGAUCAUCUGGGCAAGUGAAAUGUUGCUGCCAUCCUGCAGUCCAUUCUAUGUCCAAACCUCCAAAUCAAAUUUCUUUGGAGUAUCUUUUAAAAGAGAAAUUGUUUAAGGAAACUGGCAUGAAGAAUCUUUCAUGGUCGUCAAGGCCUUUAUUUCCAAACCCAGUCAACUCAGUCUCCCUCAAGUGAAACGUCAAAAUGGAAAUUGAAAAUAGUGGGGUGGACAGAAGAGAGGAGGAGAAUCAUGUUGUCUGAGUAAAGCCAGACACAGCCACGGAAUAUUGAAAAGCAGCGAAUAAUAAAGGAAAAAGUCUUGGAGUUGAAGAUAAACUGAGAGGACUAAGAAAUAAGGAAGAGAAAAAUGAGGCAAGAGGGGGUUGACUGAAUGCAGAUUGGGCUCACUGAGCCCAAGUGUCUGCCCUGAGUGUGCUGCAUUCUGCCAAUGGAUGUCACAUUCCCACCUCCAAAUGCAGAC